UGUCGGCAGGCCUAACACAUGCAAGUCGAACGGUAACAGGAAGCAGCUUGCUGCUUUGCUGACGAGUGGCGGACGGGUGAGUAAUGUCUGGGAAACUGCCCGAUGGAGGGGGAUAACUACUGGAAACGGUAGCUAAUACCGCAUAACGUCGCAAGACCAAAGAGGGGGACCUUAGGGCCUCUUGCCAUCGGAUGUGCCCAGAUGGGAUUAGCUAGUAGGUGGGGUAAUGGCUCACCUAGGCGACGAUCCCUAGCUGGUCUGAGAGGAUGACCAGCCACACUGGAACUGAGACACGGUCCAGACUCCUACGGGAGGCAGCAGUGGGGAAUAUUGCACAAUGGGCGCAAGCCUGAUGCAGCCAUGCCGCGUGUAUGAAGAAGGCCUUCGGGUUGUAAAGUACUUUCAGCGGGGAGGAAGGGAGUAAAGUUAAUACCUUUGCUCAUUGACGUUACCCGCAGAAGAAGCACCGGCUAACUCCGUGCCAGCAGCCGCGGUAAUACGGAGGGUGCAAGCGUUAAUCGGAAUUACUGGGCGUAAAGCGCACGCAGGCGGUUUGUUAAGUCAGAUGUGAAAUCCCCGGGCUCAACCUGGGAACUGCAUCUGAUACUGGCAAGCUUGAGUCUCGUAGAGGGGGGUAGAAUUCCAGGUGUAGCGGUGAAAUGCGUAGAGAUCUGGAGGAAUACCGGUGGCGAAGGCGGCCCCCUGGACGAAGACUGACGCUCAGGUGCGAAAGCCGUGGGGAGCAAACAGGAUUAGAUACCCCUGGUAGUCCACGCCGUAAACGAUGUCGACUUGGAGGUUGUGCCCUUGAGGCGUGGCUUCCGGAGCUAACGCGUUAAGUCGACCGCCUGGGGAGUACGGCCGCAAGGUUAAAACUCAAAUGAAUUGACGGGGGCCCGCACAAGCGGUGGAGCAUGUGGUUUAAUUCGAUGCAACGCGAAGAACCUUACCUGGUCUUGACAUCCACGGAAGUUUUCAGAGAUGAGAAUGUGCCUUCGGGAACCGUGAGACAGGUGCUGCAUGGCUGUCGUCAGCUCGUGUUGUGAAAUGUUGGGUUAAGUCCCGCAACGAGCGCAACCCUUAUCCUUUGUUGCCAGCGGUCCGGCCGGGAACUCAAAGGAGACUGCCAGUGAUAAACUGGAGGAAGGUGGGGAUGACGUCAAGUCAUCAUGGCCCUUACGACCAGGGCUACACACGUGCUACAAUGGCGCAUACAAAGAGAAGCGACCUCGCGAGAGCAAGCGGACCUCAUAAAGUGCGUCGUAGUCCGGAUUGGAGUCUGCAACUCGACUCCAUGAAGUCGGAAUCGCUAGUAAUCGUGGAUCAGAAUGCCACGGUGAAUACGUUCCCGGGCCUUGUACACACCGCCCGUCACACCAUGGGAGUGGGUUGCAAAAGAAGUAGGUAGCUUAACCUUCGGGAGGGCGCUUACCACUUUGUGAUUCAUGACUGGGG
rnacentral:rRNA from 1 species